CACGUAGGGGCCAAGCGUUGUCCGGAUUUAUUGGGCGUAAAGAGCUCGUAGGCGGCUCGGUAAGUCGGGUGUGAAAGUCGGGGGCUCAACCCUCGAAUGCCGGUGGAUACUGUCGGGCUAGAGUGCGGAAGAGGCGAGUGGAAUUCCUGGUGUAGCGGUGGAAUGCGCAGAUAUCAGGAGGAACACCGGUGGCGAAGGCGGGUCUCUGGGCAGUAACUGACGCUGAGGAGCGAAAGCGUGGGGAGCGAACAGG
rnacentral:rRNA from 1 species